UCAAUUGUGGCAGGUGGGCCAGCACCUGAAUCCUGUUGCAGAUCCUGAGCCUGAGGGUUUACUCAUACCAGAGAUUCAAUGGGAAGAGAGUGGAUACACAAAUGAGCAUCAUACCGGGGUCAAUGUCCCUACGCUGAACUUCCCUCUCUCAGAACUUGAAAUGAUGCAACUGCAAGACAACAUUGAUCCAUUGGAAGAAUCUGAAUGUUUCGGAGUGGACAUAUAUCUCAAUACUGUCCAAUACAUUGAGAACUUAAUUGAGCACCGAUAGUUGUUACACAUUUAACAACUAUCGUAUGAUUUGUGUCAUGAUUUCAGUUAUUUGGCAAUGAUGGAAAGUUAAUCAUUUUAUAUUUACAUAGCUUAUGCUUGAUUAAGUUAAUCUCAAUUGCAUGAUUUGACAUUUUUCUUUUGACUUAUAAUUGGAAGAGAAAUGAAUGGAAGUGUUUUUAGAGAUGCAUUUUCAGUCAGGAUCAAAAACCGUUUCAGAGCAACAGAAUUACAUUCAUUUUACACUCGGUAAAAAAUAAAAACUUUGUAAAAGAA